ACUUAGAAUUAUUUUUUUUGUAGAAGUUUUUUUACAUUUUUUUUGUGACGAGUGUUUAUCGUUAUACGGAAAGAUCUUUUCAAUUGAUUGUUGCAUUCAAAUAAAACAAAAGCAGCAAACUGUGGGAGGAUCAGGCCAUGCUUAUUAUAAUAAGGCAAUAUCAUGGGUACUGGAAAGACGUGGGAGAGAUAAAUACAAGCGGAAAUUAUUCUGGAAGUAGCUCUCUUUUGCUAUUUCUAACAGUUUUGAACUGGUUUUAUCACCAGUUUCACGAACCAUGGAGGAAAAUAUACUAUUUGGAUCUGAAAGCAGAAUAUGAGGAUGAUCAAAUUCCAUCGCUUGUCCUGCACUCAUCACCAGCACUCGAUCCGAGUCCAUGAUGGUAUUAAGCCGGUGAGCGAUUGUUAGCACCGUACAUGAAGAGAAUUGGCGCCGUAUUGUCUGCUGAAUAAAACUAUCAGUCCUGUAAAAAACGAAAAAACGUUAUAAUACUGUGCUAUAUAGCAUUCCUGAAAUAGAAUUAUCAAUUAAAUAUAGUUCUUACUGAGGAUCUACGUUGGCUGUGGCUUCAUCCAUAAUUAAUAUUUUGUUGGAUCUUAGAACCGCGCGUGCUAGACACAUCAACUGUCUCUGACCUACAGAGAAAUUGGAACCUCCUUCAGUAACUUUGAAAUCAAGUGAAGGAAUAGAAGAUUUCAUGUCCACCUAAAAUAAAAAAAAAAUGUAAACAAAAUUGUUUAGUUUUAAUAAAAUGGCAACUUUCUAGAA